GCCUCCGUGAUGCAAUCGGCCAGCGCGUUCGGCUGUUAACCGAAAGGUUGAUGGUUCAAGCCCACCCGGGGGCG